AACCUCCGCAAUGUGAGAAAUCGCGACGGGGGGAUCCCAAGUGCCAUUCUUAACGGGAUGGCUUUUCAUUAGUGUAAAAAGCUUUUGGAAUAAGAGCUGGGCAAGACCGGUGCCAGCCGCCGCGGUAACACCGGCAGCUCUAGUGGUAGCAAUUUUUAUUGGGCCUAAAGCGUCCGUAGCCGGUUUAAUAAGUCUCUGGUGAAAUCCUGUAGCUUAACUGUGGGAAUUGCUGGAGAUACUAUUAGACUUGAGACCGGGAGAGGUUAGAGGUACUCCCAGGGUAGAGGUGAAAUUCUGUAAUCCUGGGAGGACCGCCUGUUGCGAAGGCGUCUAACUGGAACGGUUCUGACGGUGAGGGACGAAAGUUAGGGGCGCGAACCGGAUUAGAUACCCGGGUAGUCCUAACUGUAAACGAUGCGGACUUGGUGUUGGGGUGGCUUUGAGCUGCUCCAGUGCCGAAGGGAGCUGUUAAGUCCGCCGCCUGGGAAGUACGGUCGCAAGACUGAAACUUAAAGGAAUU
rnacentral:rRNA from 1 species